rnacentral:piRNA from 1 species
UGGGUGAGGAAGGAAGCCAGGUUUUCUGUG